GCCACCAGAAUUAGAGGAGCUGCGGAGACAGUUGGCGGAAUUGUUGGAGAUGGGCUUCAUCCAACCUUCCAAGGCACCGUAUGGUUCACUGGUGUUAUUCCAGCGCAAGGCGGACGGAUCGCAGCGUCUUUGCAUAGACUAUCGGGCUCUCAACAAGGUAACCAUCAAAAACAAGUAUCCAAUUCCUCUCAUUGCCGACCUUUCAAAGCACCCUACCGGAUGGCGCCACAAAAAUUAGAGGAGCUACAAAAACAGUUGGCGGAAUUGUUUGAGAUGGGCUUCAUCCAACCUUCCAUGGCACUGUAUGGUGCACCGAUGCUAUUCCAACGCAAGGCGGACGGAUCGCACUGUGUUUGCAUAGACAAUCAUGCUCUCAACAAGGUAACCAUCAAAAACAAGUAUCCAAUUCCUCUCAUUGCUGACCUUUUUGAUCAAUUCGGGAAGGCCAAGUUUUACGUAAAGCUUGACCUAAGAUCGGGAUACUAUCAAGUGCGCA
rnacentral:lncRNA from 1 species